rnacentral:rRNA from 1 species
UACGUAGGGGGCAAGCGUUGUCCGGAUUUAUUGGGCGUAAAGAGCUCGUAGGCGGCUCGGUAAGUCGGGUGUGAAACCUCCAGGCUCAACCUGGAGACGCCACCUGAUACUGCUGUGGCUAGAGUCCGGUAGGGGAGUGUGGAAUUCCUGGUGUAGCGGUGAAAUGCGCAGAUAUCAGGAAGAACACCCGUGGCGAAGGCGGCUCUCUGGGACGGUACUGACGCUGAGACGCGAAAGCGUGGGGAGCGAACAGG